rnacentral:misc_RNA from 1 species
GUAGUAGUAGUAGUAGUAGUAGUGGGAUUAGUUAUUAGUCCAUAAGUACCUGUAUAAUGUAGGUAUUUUCUAGGGAGUUUUGUUAUUUGACGAUUGAAAAUUAAUAAAUUUGUGGGCUUUGUUUCUUCUUCGAGCGUAUUCUGUUGAUUAUGCAUCACAUCUUCGAUUACCAAUUUCAUUUUUGAGCUUGUUUGAAUCUGUGAAAAGGCACAUGGAACAGAGGAUGACUUUGACACUUGGAAUUUAUAGAAACUUGUGGUUGGAAGCUUCCUUCAUAUAUUUUGUCCAUUUUUAAUAAUUUUGAGCGUUCAUUUAUUUUUAACUCAAAAAAGAGAAAAGGAAAAAAGUUGCUGCUGGUUUGAAAUAUGAAUAAUAGUUAUAUCAUAAAAUAAUGGGUUAGUAUGUGCACUUUUUCCAGCGUUAUUUGUGAUUGAUUAUAAUUUCCAAAUGGAAGCAAUUAUCCUAGAAGCAUCAACCAGAUCGCCUUCUUGUGGUCUUGUUUCUUCAAGUUAAAUAUCGUGUGCAAUUUUCUCAGCCCUGUUUUUGUUUACAAGCCAUGCUAGCCUACUGUGAACAUCUGUAAUAUCUCAAGUUCUCCAACAUGAAAUAGUCCUCUUAUCUUCACCGUCUACAAGUAUUCUGCCCUGCUGGUGGGAACCUUCAUUUGAGCAUGAUAAUUAAAUGCAGAACGACAUGAACAACUUUGUAUUGAUUUUUAUUCUGGUUUGCUAGAGUGCAUCUCAUAUGAUAUUUGAAAAACUACAAUUCAUGGGUGUGUUUCAUACAUAGAUUUUUAUCAUUACAUUACUCGACUUCUAGUUAAUUGGAAGGGUCCAUCUGGGCUGUGCAGUUCCAUACACACCCGGUUCUAAAUGAAAGAAGUUACUAGUCUCAAACAUCGAUUUUCAUUUAACAUUAUAGUCAUUUCAGUUAACAUUUGCUGGAGGGAGCAGCCAUUCAUUCUUAUAUAGAGUUGUAAAUGUUAUCCAAAUUCCCUGAAAAAAUUUAUGCCUGGAGUUAGGCCUCUAAGAUGAUAUUUGCUGUAAUCUUUCAGAUGAACUCUCUUAAUUCCCUUA